UCCCCUUGAUGCUUUAUUUUAAGUAAAUAAAAUCCACCUUUUAUCGGAAAAAAAGCUGCAAAUCCUAACAAACUGCCUAUUCGGCUAACAGUACUAGCAUUAGUGUUGGUAGGCCAUUUUGUGCCGGAGCGCCAUGAGUAAACAUGAGGAGGAAAAACAGACAGCAUUCUGAAACAGAUCCUGUCUUACCCUACUGCCUCCCGUUCAGUCCCAGCUAGAUUCUUCAGAACGGACAACUACUAGCAUUUGAAUCCGUUCCUAGUCCGGGCCUUGGAUUUCGACGGCAACGGUCGCAAGACCGAUGCGCCACUGUCCGCGCUGCCGUUUUUUGGAGCCUUUGCACAAGUCAGGACUCAGAGGGUGCUUGGAUACAAGGAACUAUUUUUAGUCUGACUAAAAAUAGUCUUUUUUAGAGGCUAAAGUUCCAAGCACCCCUGACUAAAAAGAUGCUAGGACUAGUCUUGAGGCUAAAAUCUUUUAGUCAUGGGAAACCUAGUAAAAUAUGUAUUAGCUCUCUCUCUCCUUAUUUAAUUCCUCUCCUUAGUUCUGGAUUGAAGGGUUUGGAGGAUAAUAAAUGCUCAAUAACUAGAUUUUAGUCUCUUUAGUACUUGGAUCCAAGCAUGGGUGAGACUAGCAAGUUUUAGUCCCACUACUUUUAGUCAUGGGACUAAAACGUAUCCAAGCAUGCUCUCAGGAGCGAUCAAGUCCCGGAGAUCCACAGCCCCAGGCCAUGCUUUUCGAGGCAGCAAGAUGCUCUUCCCGAAUCAUUCCAUACCUUCCCAUUCCCGGCCCGGGGUCCCGUCGUGAAACUCUCCAUCACCAAACCCAAUCAAUCAAUCAACGAAAGAAAAAAGCUAAAAACAAACCAGAGCACAGAUUUAUCAUCCAAUGCCACAACAAAGCCGCGCUAGAUUUGGCCAGCGCCCCACGAACCGAGACCAGCACAGUAUCCAAUUAGCAGCAGCGAGUGAUAGCAUCCGAGGAUCGCAUUACAUGAGAUCAGAUCUGCAAUCUGUGUUGGCUCCCUUAAGAUAUGCUAUACUAGCGUGACAAAAUAGCUGAGAUAGCAUGUCCGGUGCCUGUCUUCGGGCGAGACCAUGGGUCGCUCCGUCACUGUGACGCUGCACGUAGUAGUACUACACUGCUCCUGGACCACGCCUCUGCGUCUUGUAGCCGGCAUCACCUGCACGC
rnacentral:lncRNA from 1 species